GCCUUAGAUGUUCUGGGCCGCACGCGUGCUACACUGAGUGGAUCAGCGGGUCAGGUUGCGCGAAAGCGUUUCCUAAUCUUUAAAUCCGCUCGUGAUGGGGAUUGACGGUUGCAAUUUUCUGUCAUGAACGAGGAAUACCUUGUAAGCGCGGGUCAUCAUCCCGCGCUGAAUACGUCCCUGCCCUUUGUACACACCGCCCGUCGCUCCUACCGAUUGAGUGGUCCGGUGAGGCUUUGGGAUCUGAGCGGAAAGAGCGUUUCGCUGUUUCUGCUCGGAAAACUCAGUCGAACCUUAUCAUUUAGAGGAAGGAGAAGUCGUAACA
rnacentral:rRNA from 1 species